GUGUCAGCAGCCGCGGUAAGACGAACCACACAAACGUUAUUCGGAAUUACUGGGCUUAAAGGGUGCGUAGGCGGCGCAGAAAGUUGGGUGUGAAAUACCUCGGCUCAACCGAGGAACUGCGCCCAAAACUGCUGUGCUCGAGGAAGAUAGAGGUGAGCGGAACUUACGGUGGAGCGGUGAAAUGCGUUGAUAUCGUAAGGAACACCUGUGGCGAAAGCGGCUCACUGGGUCUUUUCUGACGCUGAUGCACGAAAGCUAGGGGAGCAAACGGGAUUAGAAACCCGUGUAGUCC
rnacentral:rRNA from 1 species